AAUGCCAUUGAAAAGGAGUUAGCCAAAGUGAAAUUAAAUUCACACUUCAAGUUGCUCUUUGCUGUGGAUGAUGGUGUAUCAUGUAUGUAUUAGUGUUUAUAUAGAUUAGAUGAACUUUUAUAUGAAUAAUCUGAUCUUUAAGUGUUAUGGAA